CCAAAAUGAAAAAUAAAAAGGCCUGGGGAUAUAUUCAUAAAGAAAAUUGGAUAUAUAACGCAAUGAGAAACUUUCAAGAACUCUACCUAUUUAUGCUGUGACAUACAGAUGGCCGCAGUAGUCAUAUUGGUGAUAUGGGAGAAAUGGAAAAAACUUUUGUCUUAAUCUAGUAACCCAGGCUCUGGAUUCAGAUAUGGACAUUUUGCCAUUUGUCCAGAUGAGUCAAUAGAGAUUGGAAUCAGCUUCUAGAACUAAGCCUGUUCACUGCUUUUCAAAGCCCAAAUGUAGCAGAGUGUCUCUGUGGGAAACAAGGCAGAAGCAGAAAAUCACUCCAAGAGGGAACUCAGACUGCCAAAUAAUUGGUCUCGAGCACGAGUUCACUGGACUUUGGCUCAUUCCUGAAGGGGAAGCGCUCACAAUGGAAACAGUGAUGGUCACUUACUCAGGCAGCCAAGAGAAUGAAAAGCACAUUGAAACCCAGCAGUGUCCCUGCGGGAGAGGUACAGUGGGCCCCUUGGUGGUGAAACCGACCUGACAACGAAGCGGAUCACAGAGCCCAUUCCCAGCGUCUGUCUUCAGUUCCACAACAGACCUUUAUGUGCACGCUCUCAGGAGAUCUCUGAGAAAUGAUACAGCCAGCAGCCUAAGCUUUACCCCACAACAGAUUCGGGCUCAAUCUAGUUUGCCUGUUUGCUUUGAAUUCCAUUUUGUUGAUUAAGAGAAAGAAGAGCCCGCUUAGAUAUAAAGUCCCUGCCAAAAUACAUCCCUCCUACGCAGGCUUCCUCA